UGGGGAAUAUUGCACAAUGGGCGCAAGCCUGAUGCAGCCAUGCCGCGUGUAUGAAGAAGGCCUUCGGGUUGUAAAGUACUUUCAGUCGGGAGGAAGGUGGUAAGGUUAAUAACCUUGGCAAUUGACGUUACCGACAGAAGAAGCACCGGCUAACUCCGUGCCAGCAGCCGCGGUAAUACGGAGGGUGCAAGCGUUAAUCGGAAUUACUGGGCGUACAGCGCACGCAGGCGGUUGAUUGAGUCAGAUGUGAAAUCCCCGGGCUUAACCCGGGAAUUGCAUCUGAUACUGGUCAGCUAGAGUCUUGUAGAGGGGGGUAGAAUUCCAUGUGUAGCGGUGAAAUGCGUAGAGAUGUGGAGGAAUACCGGUGGCGAAGGCGGCCCCCUGGACAAAGACUGACGCUCAGGUGCGAAAGCGUGGGGAGCAAACAGG
rnacentral:rRNA from 1 species